rnacentral:rRNA from 1 species
CGUUAGCGGCGGACUGGUGAGUAACACGUGGGUAACCUACCUAUAAGACUGGGAUAACUUCGGGAAACCGGAGCUAAUACCGGAUAAUAUUUCGAACCGCAUGGUUCGAUAGUGAAAGAUGGUUUUGCUAUCACUUAUAGAUGGACCUGCGCCGUAUUAGCUAGUUGGUAAGGUAACGGCUUACCAAGGCGACGAUACGUAGCCGACCUGAGAGGGUGAUCGGCCACACUGGAACUGAGACACGGUCCAGACUCCUACGGGAGGCAGCAGCC